UGAGUUAUUUAUUUUUCACCUCUGUCCCCCUUGCUUUGGUCUUAUGGUGGAGUCCACAUAAAAGACUAAGAUCUACAUUCUGCUGCUUGUUCGCUUUAACCUCUAGAAUGCAAAUUAGAGCCAUCACGUCAUACAUUUUGUUGUAUUAGUAUUAGUUGCUUUUGUCUUGUAGUUGGUUUUGUAUUUGUGUUAUUUUCAUCACUUCUAACAGACCUUACAUGGGUAUAAACUUUGUUAGAGCAUACAUUUAGAAUAACUACAAAAUGAUGCAAGUUUGCCAGUUUGUCAGAAUUAUUUUGUAACAAUUCUGUGUAAUAUCCUACUCGUUGAUGUUGACCACUCUUGUUUUGGUUGAAAUAAGUUCCUUUAUGUUCCAUCUGAUGCCUACUCCACAAGGAAGCUUUUACGUUUUCAAUGACAUUUUCCGAUUAAACUACGCAUGAAGACAAAGGUUGAUCACCCACGUUCAACAACUGGUGGGAUUAUGUGUGCCCUCUCUGCUUAUGUUUAGUUCUAGACAUUUUGAAUCAGAUGGAGAGUCUGAACUUUCUUGUUAAGUUUAGUGUUUUGUUUCUGAAAUUUCAAGAUUUGAUGGUAUGGUAUGGUACUAUGGUUCUUAUUGGUUGAUUUGAUGAUAUUUUACCUGUACUGGGCAAUUAUCUAAAUGAACACAGUAUUGGGGGUUUGAGACUAAAGAAGUUUCCUUAUAAGGAUGUUGGUAUGACUUGCAUU
rnacentral:lncRNA from 1 species